CCUACGGGAGGCAGCAGUAGGGAAUCUUCCACAAUGGGCGAAAGCCUGAUGGAGCAACGCCGCGUGGGUGAAGAAGGUCUUCGGAUCGUAAAACCCUGUUGUUAGAGAAGAAAGUGCGGGAGAGUAACUGUUCACGUUUCGACGGUAUGUAACCAGACAGCCAGGGCUCACUACGUGACAGAAGCCGCGGUAAUACGUAGGAGGCAAGCGUUAUCCGGAUUUAUUGGGGGUGAAGGGAGCGCAGGCUGUCUUUUAAGUCUGAUGUGAAAGCGUUCGGUUUAACCGGAGGAGUGCAGUGGAAACUGGGAGACUUGAGUGCAGAAGAGGAGAGUGGAACU
rnacentral:rRNA from 1 species